CUAGUGCCUUGUCUCGAAACAGAGAAGGUUCUUCUGUUUCCAAUGAUCUCGAAAAUGUUGAAGAUUUAGUCUCAAUGGACGAAAGUGACUCUAGUUUUACUGAGAGUGACUACAGUGGUGGAAGUUCAACCGGUGAAAGUGAUAGUGACGGUGAAGAAGAAGAAGAAGAAGAGGACGAAGAUGAAUCCGGUGACGACGGAGAACGCAGUAGGGAAAUUGUGACUCGUUCAGCAAGAACUCGUUCACGUCGUAAAAAAUAUCCUGAAUCAUGGAAAGAUGCAUGUCUAAAAUUGAUAAAUGAGUUAUGGGAAAAUGAAGAUUCUGAACCAUUCCGUUUUCCUGUAGAUUUUGAACAGUAUCCAGAUUAUUGUCGUUAUGUAGAUACACCUAUGGACCUAUCAACCAUCAAAGAAGAAUUGGAAAACUA
rnacentral:lncRNA from 1 species